AUACAUUCUACCCUUUAUGACAAAAGCCUUUACAACUGAUCUUUCCCAUGAGUUAGCAGCUCUUAAACUUUUGAGAACCUGAUCAAAGCUAUAUGUUCUCUCCUGGAUAAAUGCACAUUAGCAUAGGCAUGCAUUUUGAUUACAAGAUCCGGCGUUCAUAGACCUCUACAGUCUAGCCACCAGAAAAUGUCUUGUGUCAAGACAGAAAACCAUGCAGAACAAGAACAUUGCUACCCUCAUGAAUCCAAUAUCCCAGCUGCCUGGAAGUUUCUGAGUAGGGAUGGGGACAAGAAAAGACCCCAACAAGAAAAUAAGAGUAGUGAGACACAGAGGGGAUGUAAAGGAGAGAAUGAAGCCGGAUGAGGAAAUAACAGGCAACCUUGUUUCAGGGAAACUAAGACAGAAGAUGAGUUCCUGUGUCUCUAGGUAUCUCCUAGCCCAGACUCCCCAGAUCAGGCUGACAAAAUGGGCAUCCACUAACAGAGAUUCCUGCAAUUGCUGCCACUUUUCUGGACAUUCUGGACAAUUUCAAGACACAGAAGUAUUCCCAUUGAUAUUAAAGCUGAAAAUGGAAGGAAUAUUAUUACAGAAAAG
rnacentral:lncRNA from 12 species